rnacentral:rRNA from 1 species
AGUGAACGCUGGCGGUAGGCCUAACACAUGCAAGUCGAACGGCAGCACAGUAAGAGCUUGCUCUUACGGGUGGCGAGUGGCGGACGGGUGAGGAAUACAUCGGAAUCUACUUUUUCGUGGGGGAUAACGUAGGGAAACUUACGCUAAUACCGCAUACGACCUACGGGUGAAAGCAGGGGAUCUUCGGACCUUGCGCGAUUGAAUGAGCCGAUGUCGGAUUAGCUAGUUGGCGGGGUAAAGGCCCACCAAGGCGACGAUCCGUAGCUGGUCUGAGAGGAUGAUCAGCCACACUGGAACUGAGACACGGUCCAGACUCCUACGGGAGGCAGCAGUGGGGAAUAUUGGGCAAUGGGCGCAAGCCUGAUCCAGCCAUACCGCGUGGGUGAGGAAGGCCUUCGGGUUGUAAAGCCCUUUUGUUGGGAAAGAAAAGCAGCAGGUUAAUACCCCGCUGUUCUGACGGUACCCAAAGAAUAAGCACCGGCUAACUUCGUG